CGGGAAGUAGCUCAGCUUGGUAGAGCACUUGGUUUGGGACCAAGGGGUCGCAGGUUCGAAUCCUG
rnacentral:tRNA from 1 species